UGCCCCAAUCAAACUCUCUCUUUCCCUCUCUCUCUCUCUCUCUCUUCGGUCUUCAGUUUUCACUCCAUUAAAGUUUAGAGCCCUAGCUUUCUGCCCGCCGCGUCUGUACUGCUGUCCGCCGUCUCGGCGCCGCCUUCCGUCCCGACAAAGUUGAAGCUUUUGAUUAAUGGCUUCAUAAGGAGUUCUAAAGCAAAUAUCUGUAAUCAAUAGAGCAGAAGAUAAUAGAAUGGGUCGUCCAAAUCCUUGUGUGUUGUUCUCUCAAACUUUCGUUCAUCCUCAGCUCGACGAGUACGUCGACGAGGUAGUAUUUGCUGAACCAAUUGUCAUCACUGCUUGUGAGUUCCUAGAACAGAAUGCUUCAUCAGUCUCUCCAGCUAUUACACUUCUUGGGGCCACGUCUCCACCAUCAUUUGCGUUAGAGGUUUUUGUUCAGUGCGAAGGAGAAACAAGGUUUAGGCGCUUAUGCCAGCCUUUUUUGUACUCUCAUUCUUCAUCAAAUGUUCUAGAAGUUGAGGCUGUGGUAACAAAUCAUUUGGUUGUAAGAGGCAGUUACCGUAGCCUUACAUUGGCCAUAUAUGGAAACACAGCAGAGGAUCUGGGGCAGUUCAGCAUAGAAUUUGACUUGGAUAGCUCUUUGAACAAUCAUGCUAGUUCUGUUGAGGACAAGGUUGAGGAUCUUCCUCCUGCAUUACAAUUUAAUAAUUUGACUAUGAAGGAAUCCAUAUCCCCUCCAAAUGCAUUGUCACUACCAGAUGCUGUUUCAGAUAUAUCUUUCAAAAUAAUGCAGCUUUUGCAGUUGAUGUUUAAGAUUUUGGAGUUAUCAAACGUUGGGGAUGCAACAUAUAAAGUCGCAAGUCAUGUUGUGUCGGUAGCCUCUUCCUGUGUCACCUGUGACUUGCUGUCAUCUGUCUUUUGUAAACAUUUCAUGGAGAGCGGAUCCAAAGAUUGUGGGGGAGAGCCAUACCGUGUUCUUAAUGAUGCCAGAAAAGAGCUUCUUGAUCUCUAUAAAAUCCUUUGUGACGAUUCACGGAAUGCAUUGGCUGAAGCAUUAGCAGACUACACUUUUCUAGAAUCUGAGGUUGAUUUGGCUAGUUCCAAAGAGUUAAUGGAUAUGUUUAACCAGCACAUUCAUUUUAAUAUGAACUCUUCAAACGCUGAACAUCACCAGAUUUUGCAGAGUAAGAAUGUCAUUUUGGGGUUGAGUGUGGCUCUUUUAGUUUGCUCUGGUAAAGAGAGCUGCUUCCACUUUGUUAAUGGUGCUGGCAUGGAUCAGCUUGCAUGGGUUUUCUCUAACCAUUCACAGAAUUCUGCUGCUGUUACAUUAAUGUUACUUGGUGUUGUUGAGUUGGCUACUCGCCACUCAAUUGGGUGUGAAGGAUUUUUAGGAUGGUGGCCCCGUGAAGAUGAAAAUGUCCCAUCUGGCACUAGUGAAGGUUAUAGUCAAUUGUUGAAGUUGUUAUUGGAAAAGCAGCGUCAUGAUGUGGCUUCUCUUGCUACUUACGUCCUUCAUCGUUUGCGCUUUUAUGAAGUUGUUUCGAGAUAUGAGUCUGCAGUAUUGUCUGUAUUGGGAGGUCUUUCUGCUGCUGGUACGGCUACAAGUGUUAAUUUGAAAAUGCUUAUGGAUGCAAAAUUGCAGCUCAAAAAGCUCUUGAAUUUGAUUAAUUCACGUGGUUCAAUUGAACACCCUUAUCCGAUGGCCCGUGCAAGCAGAUCAUUGAUGAUUGGCCAAACAGAAGGAUUGUUGUCCUAUAAAGCAACCAGUAGCUUAAUUGCUUCAUCAAAUUGUUGUUUUUCAAAUUGUGACAUUGAUGCGCAUUUGCUAGCACUUCUUAAGGAGAGAGGAUUUCUUCCUCUGUCAGCUGCUCUGUUGGCAUCUUCUAUUCUGCGAUCAGAAGUAGGACAUGCUAUGGACAUGUUUGUGGAUAUUGCAUCAUCUCUUGAGGCCAUAAUUCUUUCACUUCUUUUUUGUCGCUCAGGCUUAGUCUUUCUCCUACUUCACUCUGAACUUUCUGCUACACUGAUUCUUGCACUACGAGGUGCUGGUGAUAUGAAUAAGGAAGAGUGUGUUCCUCUUCGGUAUGCAUCAGUUUUACUAUCCAAGGGUUUCUUUUGUCACCUACAGGAAGUUGGAUUGAUUGUUGAGAUGCAUUUAAGAGUGGUUAGUGCUAUAGAUCGAUUGUUGACUUCGACUCCGCACUCUGAGGAAUUCCUUUGGGUUUUGUGGGAGCUGCGGGGUCUUUCUAGGUCUGAAUGUGGACGUCAGGCUUUGUUGUCUCUGGAACAUUUUCCUGAGGCUCUUUCAUGUUUGAUUGAAGCAUUACAUUCAGUCAAGGAAUUGGAGCCAGUUACCAUGAAUAGUGGAUCCUCCCAUUUAAAUCUUGCAAUCUUUCACUCAGCUGCUGAGAUUUUUGAAGUUAUUGUUACUGAUUCAACUGCUUCUUCACUGGGUUCUUGGAUUGAGCAUGCUAUGGAACUUCAUAGGGCUUUGCAUUCCUCUUCCCCAGGGUCCAAUAGAAAAGAUGCUCCUACACGUCUCUUGGAAUGGAUAGAUGCUGGUGUAGUCUAUCAUAAAAAUGGGGCUAUUGGUCUUCUUCGGUAUGCUGCUGUUUUAGCUUCUGGUGGAGAUGCACACUCAACUUCAACAAGCAUUCUUGUAUCAGAUUCAAUGGAUGUGGAAAAUGUUGCUGGAGAGUCUUCCAGUGGCUCCGAUAUUCGUGUGGUGGAGAAUCUAGGAAAAAUUAUUUCUGAGAAGUCUUUUGACGGGUUUACUCUUCGUGACUCUUCUGUGGCGCAAUUGACAACUACAUUUAGAAUAUUGGCUUUCAUUUCAGAAAACUCGGCUGUUGCUGCUGCUCUUUAUGAUGAAGGUGCCAUAACAGUUAUCUAUGCAGUUCUGGUCAACUGUAGGUUCAUGCUUGAGAGGUCCUCAAAUAGUUAUGAUUAUCUUGUAGAUGAGGGUACAGAAUGCAAUUCUACCUCCGAUUUACUAUUGGAGCGAAAUCGUGAGCAAAGUAUAGUUGAUCUUUUGAUUCCUUCUUUGGUACUGUUGAUCGCCCUUUUACAAAAAUUACAGGAAGCCAAUGAGCAGCACAGAAAUAAAAAAUUAAUGGAUGCUCUUCUUCGAUUGCAUCGGGAAGUGAGCCCAAAGUUAGCUGCAUGUGCAGCAGACAUGACAUCUCCUUAUCCUGAUUCUGCUCUUGGUUUUGGAGCUGCCUGUCAUCUAAUCGUGUCAGCACUUGCUUGCUGGUCCAUAUAUGGUUGGACUCCUGGUCUUUUCCAUUCCCUCCUUGCCAGUGUUCAUGCUACCUCAUUGCUUGCAUUGGGUCCCAAAGAAGCCUGCAGUUUUCUAUGUAUUUUGAAUGAUUUGCUUCCUGAAGAGGGUAUUUGGGUUUGGAGGAAUGGAAUGCCCUUGUUGAGUGCUCUUAGAACAUUGGCUGUUGGGUCAUUAUUAGGGCCUCAGAAGGAGAGACAGGUUAACUGGUAUUUGCAGCCUGAACAUGUGGAGGUGGUGCUUAGCCAAUUGACACCACAGCUUGACAAAGUUGCCCAGAUUAUCCAACAUUAUGCUUCUACCUCAUUAGUGGUCAUACAAGACAUGCUUCGAGUUUUUAUAGUUCGCCUUGCCUGCCAGAAGGCUGACAAUGCUUCUUUUGUUCUGCGGCAACUAAUUUCAUGGAUUCACGGUCAUCUUUCUGAAUCUUCUUCUCCAUCAGAUAUGGAUGCUUACAAGGUUUACCAAUCACUUGAUUUUCUUGCUAGCUUAUUGGAGCAUCCACAUGCUAAGCCAUUGUUGCUCAAGGAGGGUGCUGUCCAGAUGCUGGUGAAGGUACUUGAGAGGGGUACUCAUCUCACUAGUUCUGAUUGGAAACAUUUUCCAGACAUUGGAAACUCAGCUAAAUGUGGGUUUAGUCUGCCUCGUUGGUCCCUUCCUGUGUUCAAAUCCAUCUCAUUGAUUUGUGGUCAACAACCAUCCCAUCAUGCUGGCAAAUAUAGGAACAACUUUGGAAGUUUGAGUACUGAAGAUUGCUCCUAUAUUUUGCGCUUUCUCUUGAGCCUAUGUCAGAUUUUGCCUGUUGGAAGGGAAUUAUUUGCUUGUUUAAGAGCUCUUAAGGAUCUAGGUUCAUGCUAUGAAGGUCGUAGUGCUUUGUUGUCCAUUUUCCUGCAUAUUAAAUCCUCUAGUGCUGAGGAACUUGAAUCAACAAAGCAGAAUCAAAAGGACGAGGAUAAUAAUUUGUUUAGUGAGCAUGAGUGGAGAAAUAGCCCCCCUUUGCUUUGUUGUUGGAUACAAUUGUUGAGUACUAUUGAUUCAGAUGAUAGUUCGUCAUUCAAUGCAAUUGAAAUUGUUGGCGCGUUGUCUUUAGCUGCUUUGAACUUCUGCAUGGAUGGAAAAAGUAUAAAUUGGAAUAGGGUUGAUGCAGUGAAAUACCUUUUUGGGCUUCCUUGUGAUAUUAAUGGAAGGGAUUAUUUUCCUGAAAAAAACAUAAAGUACAUAGAGGAUAUGACUACUCUUUUGAGUUCAAAAGCUUCCAAUAAUGACUAUUUAGUUUCCUUGGAUUUGAAGACUACGCUCUAUCAGGUUUCAGAGUAUGCAAAGUCGUUAUUGUUAUUGUUGCAAAUACCUACUGAUACAGUUAAUGCGGAUGAUAUCAUUUCUGCUGAAAGCAUUUUGUUGUCUCCAAUUGAUAUAGUUUCUUCAGAGAUACAUCACAUGGCAGAUGGCGUUUCUGAAAGUACUGAUGACUAUUUGUCUCCAGUAGAGCUUGGAGAUAUGUUUUCAUGGGAGUGUCCUGAAACUUUACCUGAUAGAUUGUCUCAGGUGGUUCUUCCUGUUAAGAGAAAAAUGUCAUCACUGGAGGGCAGUAGGCGUGCAAGAGGAGAGAAUUCUUCUGUGGAGAUGAUGGCACAAAAUACAUUUUCACGGGGAUUGGGGCAACCUACUACCCCUGCUGGUCCUACUCGCAGGGAUGCCUUCCGGCAGCGCAAGCCAAACACCAGUAGGCCCCCUUCCAUGCAUGUGGAUGACUAUGUUGCCAGGGAGAGAAAUGUUGAUGGUGCUAGUUCUCAUGUAAUUGCAGUACGAGUGGGGUCUAGUGGUGGAAGACCUCCAUCAAUUCAUGUGGAUGAAUUUAUGGCCAGACAAAGGGAACGACAGAAUCCUGUUGCUGUGACAGUUGGGGAAACAGCAGCUCGAAUUAAGAAUACUCCUGAGAAUAGCACAGAUAUGGAAAAGUUCAGCAAGUCUAAGCAGUUGAAAGCAGAUCUCGAUGAUGAACUUCAAGGAAUUGAUAUUGUGUUUGAUGGGGAGGAGUCUGAAUCUGAUGACAAGCUGCCCUUUCCUCAGCCAGAUGAUAAUCUGCAGCAGCCUGCUCCUGUCACGGUUGAACAAGGUUCUCCCCAUUCAAUUGUUGAAGAGACAGAAAGUGAUGUACAUGAAAGUAGUCAGUUUUCUCGCAUGGGCACACCACUGGCAUCUAAUGUUGAUGAGACUACCCAAAAUGAAUUUUCUUCAAGGAUGUCAGCCUCGCGUCCUGAGGUGCCGCUGGUUCGAGAAUCAAGUGUGUCUUCUGAAAAAAAGUACUUUGAGCAGCCUGGUGAAAUGAGGAAUGUAAUUCCAGUUGAGACAUCUGGUCGAAAGGAUUUUGUUGUACCGACAAAUAGCCCUGGUUUUCCUACCUCAGUUUAUAUGAAUGCUUCUGCAUCAUCUAUGUCUUUACAGUUUCCCGUAGAUUCUAGGAUGGCUCCAUCAAACAGUAUCCAUAAGAAAGGAAAUCUACAAAAAAUUGGUAAUAUGCCAUCAAUUACAGGAUCUCAAGGACACUAUGAGCAGAAAUACGUGCUGCAUCAGCCACCUUUACCUCCAAUGCCCCCUCCAUCAACAAUCUCUCCUGUUAUAUCCCAGGCACCUGAUCCUGUUCCAAGUCAGUCAUCUCCAUUUGUCAAUUCUAUUUCAGAUGUGCAGCCGCCGCUGCCCACAGCUUUCCAAGUUCAAUCAGAGUAUAUGUCUGCAUUUAAUAACAGUUCUUUAGCAUCUUCAUUUCCCAUACCAGAUUCAAAAUAUACAAGAACAUCCAUCUCCUCUCCUAGUGGAUCUGUCAGGCCACCACCACCACUUCCUCCUACGCCACCGCCUUAUUCUUCUACAGCAUUCACUUCUCCAUCUUUAAAGACUUCUGUUGCACAACCUUCAUUGUAUACUCAAACAAAUAUUGGAAUAACCGAGCUUCCCCAAACCUCUAUUGUACCUUUAACUGAUGUUCGAUUUGGCAAUCUUGCUGCAUCAGGGGCCAGGCUGGCUACUUACCCCCCACCUCCACUGGUCUCACCAUUGGUGUUCAGUAGACCUGCUUCAAUACCUCUAAGUCUUUAUGGGAGUAGCACAACACAGCCGCAGGGUGAAAACUUGACGAGUAUGAUUCAAAAUCUCCCCAUUCCCCAACCUUCUAUACAGUCUGUUCAACCCCUUGCUCAGUUGCAGCCACUGCAGCCUCCGCAGCUUCUGCGCCCCCCUCAGCCCCCUCAGCAUCCUAGGCCACCUAUCCAAGCUUCUCAACAGACAGAGCAAGGGGUGUCUUUGCUGCAGAGCUCUGCUCAAAUGCAAGUUCAGCCCUUGCAAAUGCUUCAACAGCCCCAAGUUUCUCCAAUUCCAAUCUAUUAUCAACCUCAACAAGCCGAAAAUUUUUUACUCACACAACAGCAGCAGCAGCCAGUUGAACAUCCUCAACCACAAGUUGUGCCCCAGCAAGGAGACAAUGCAUCUCGACAGCAGCAAGAUUUGGGAAUGUCAUUACAAGAAUACUUCAGUUCCCCAGAAGCUAUUCAGUCUUUAUUGAGUGACAGGGAAAGACUCUGCCAGCUUUUAGAGCAGCAUCCAAAGUUAAUGCAGAUGCUACAGGAAAGGCUGGGGCAGCUAUAGCGACAGGAUGCCAAACUGCACCUUGAAGGCUAUACUCGGAAUCCUUCCAAAUUAUCUGUUUCAUGUUGCAGACAAUGUGUGAUUUAGGAGAAUUUUGCAUCAAUGUACUAUAUUUCUAUCCCAAGGUGAUCCAGCCAGGCGAGCAUAUCAGGCUCAUAGGUAGAGGGACUUCAGUACCGUCCUGUCAGUAAAGGAAUCCUAGAGAUCAGGUCUAGUGGGCUAGAGGAGCUGGGCUAGAAGUGUAAAUUUAUGUAAGUAGUGUGUAGAUAGAGAUUUUAUUUUUGUUUAGUUUUAUGGAAUGUAAUUAUGUGAAAAU